UAUUAUUUAUUUAAGGAAUUUCGGGAAGCAUGCACUCCAUCUUCAACCUUUUAUUCUCCCUCUAAAAAAAAAUCCUAGCAUGCCACCUCAAAAAAUCCUAGCAUGCCACCUCCCUUUUCGAUCAACCAACUACCAUCGUUCUCCACAUUUCUCUAUCUCAUCUGAAGCCAAAUCGACGUCUAGUCAAGUCGUCUUUGAAGUCAAGGCAUUUAUGAGCCGAUCUCUCUGUCUGCCUCCGUCCUUUAAGCCGAAGCCUCCAUCUCCGCUCUCUUUCCUAUAAGUCGUCUCCUCCGUCGUCUUCCACCGAGCUGAUCCUUCUACCCGAGCCGUGCACCAUCAUUCGAACCUAUCUUUUCUACCCGAGUGUCGCGUGCCAUCAUCCAAGUCGCACGAGCAAGCAAAGUUGGUUCCCUUUCGAGAGCCGCGUGAAAUCAAUCCUGAGUCGCGUGCACCAGUCACCAAGCUAAGAGCGAGCCGCGUGCUCUCUUGCGCGAGUGUGUCCUAUUUCAAGUAGUGAGUCAAGCCAUCCUCCUCUCGUCGAGCCGCUUAAGCUUGUUAUUGUCGUUUUGAGCUAUUUGGUAGUUUUUAGGGUUGGUUAUAUCUAAUUGGAAGAAUUGAGAGUUGUGAUUUUUCCUAAUCAAGGUUGAAUUGGAAUUCAACCUCAACUUUGGGACUUAUUCUUGGAAAGCUUGACCGUGACUAUUAGGAUAAUUUUGUUAAGUUAAUCUUUAGGUAAGAGAUUCUCCUAAUAGACCUUCGAACCGAAGUUAAAAGCUUGCAUGUAAUUUCUCCAUUAUGCACUCAUGUAGCCAAGAUGCAUAAUAUAUUAAUGAAUUAUGUUGAUAACUGAUAUUUAGGAUUAAUAUUAUUUUGAUGAUGAUGACUAAUUUAUAUUGAUGAUAAUGACUUAUUUACCUUAAUGAUGAUGCAUGAAAUAUCAAUCACAUGAUUAAGGACAUUAUGAUUAAUAUUCAUGUCAUGUUUAUGAUGUUUAUGAAGUGUUACAUGCUAUAAAUAGGUUUUUUGUUAACUUUAUCCAUUAGACUCGUACCAUAUGGGUGUCCCUCGAGAUCACCACCUUUUUAUGAUUGUGUAGUUUGACGGGACCACCAAUCUCUAAUGAUAUGUUAUGUGUCUGAGUGGUUCAACGGAGUCAUUUACAGCCUGAUUGUCUUAAGUGCUCCUUCGAGUUCACUAAUGACUAGUUUGUCUUAGGUGUUCCUUCAAGUUUACCGAAAAUCAAUUUGGUCUUAGGUAUUUUUUUAGGUUCAUCGAAGACCAGAUGACUUCCUACAGGAUCAUUAGAUUGCGUGUGUUCGGGAGCGUGCCAGUUUAGUGGUACUUCUUUACAGAACCUUAAUGGGAAGUUAACAGAUACCUAUUAGGACUAGUAGUAUACAUCUUACUGAGAUAUUUGUUUAUACGCACUCUUUCGAUGUUUAAUUUUCCAUGCAGAGGUAGAGGUAAGGGUAGAGGAAAGCUGGCGAAUUGCAAGAAGUGACCGCGACUAGCCACAGGGAAACUUUUAAUUUGUUGCUUCCGCUUUUAUUUUAUAGUUUUGAUUUUAGUAUUUUUGUAUAUUCUUUGAUUAUUUCUCUUUAAAGAUUAGAUAGGGCCCGAAAAAGGAUUUUAUUUUCUAGAUUUAUUUUUACAUACUUUUAUUUAUAAUUUUAGUGUUAUUUUCUAUUUUGUUAGGAAAGUCUUUAUUUAUUUUUAAUAGUAAUGACCCCAGCUUAGUAUAAAAA